rnacentral:rRNA from 1 species
AGGGUUCGAUUAUGGCUCAGAACGUACGCUGGCGGCACGCCUUAUACAUGCAAGUCGAACGAAGUAGCAAUACUUAGUGGCAGACGGGUGAGUAACAUGUAGGUAUCUUCCCUUUGGUGAGGAAUAACACGAGGAAACUUGUGCUAAUACCUCAUAAGUCUUUACGGAGAAAGCUUUAUGCGCCGAAGGAUGAGCCUGCACUUGAUUAGUUUGUUGGUGGGGUAAUGGCCUACCAAGACUUUGAUCUAUAGCUGAUCUGAGAGGAUGAUCAGCCACAUUGGGACUGAGACACGGCCCAAACUCCUACGGGAGGCAGCAGUAGGGAAUAUUGCACAAUGGAGGAAACUCUGAUGCAGCGAUGCCGCGUGAGUGAAGAAGGCCCUUGGGUUGUAAAGCUCUUUCGUCGGGGAAGAAAAUGACUGUACCCGAAUAAGAAGGUCCGGCUAACUUCGUGCCAGCAGCCGCGGUAAUAC